rnacentral:lncRNA from 10 species
CUUCCGACUCGUGCGCGUGCCCGGGCCGGAGUCGCCGCGGGCGGGCGCGGGCGCGGCUUCGGGGUCCGCCUGCGGGUGGGAAGCCGGACGAGCUGGACUGGGGCCGUCCUCCGUGCGCCCCGGGCGGGUUUCGGCUUUCAUAGUCGCUCUCUCCCUCUCCUUUGCGCCGAGUGAGUGUUCCCGGGGCCGGAGCCCGUGCUCCCCGUGCCUGCCGCCCGUCCUUCCUGUACAAACAAAACCAUCUCGCCCACCUCCACCCCCUCCCCCAUAUAUGAUAGCCGAGGACCCUGAGGGCUGUCCGGGAGGAGCGCGGGGACUCUCAUCUGACACCGGAAGGAAGCCAGGGAGAAAAUGGAAGUCAGUGCAAACUCACCUGCCUUCCUUUGGAAACUUCAAGAAAAAAAGAGAUUGUAUCAACUGAUGGCUUUUAGUCUCCUAGACUAAAAAGAAAGUUUCGUUGCAGCUUUAAAGAUAAAUCACAUUUUCUUGGGUCUGGAUCUUUUUUAUGGUAGAGAUUGGUUCUUGCUAUCUUAUAUCUUGACCCUGAUUUGGGAAGUAAAGACCGAAUAACCAUGACAUUUUUUGUUUGGUUUAUUCAAUUGCACUUGUAACCUGUCAAAGGAGAAAAUUACAACACAUUUAAAGAUCUUUUUUGUUGUUGUUGUUGUUGAUUUUCAUUUUUUAACUUUUAUUGUUAAAGAUCUUAUUUGUGAUUCUAGAAAUUGGGCAACAUCUCCAUUAAAUUAGAAUAAGUGCUCCCAUGAGCUGAGCAGAAGAGGUUGGUUUUAUAGACAGAGAAGGGCUGAAGAAAGCAGAAACAAAGAACCAAGACUGGAUUGGUUGUUUCAAAAUUACUUUCCUUGUAAGGAGGGGACAGAGAGACAGAAUCAUAGAAAAAUAACUGAUGAGGGCUUGCCACCAUGGCUCAUGCCUAUAAUGCCAGCACUUUGGAAAGUCAAGACUGGAGGACCUCUUGAGUCCAGGAGUUUGAGAC